AACAACCUCAUCGACCGGAAGGGAUUCCUUCCGGUCGAUGAGGGUGUUUUACCUCAUCGACCGGAAAGGAUUCCUUCCGGUCGAUGAGGGUGUU
rnacentral:miRNA from 1 species